GUCCACGCAGUAAACGAUGCCGACUAGGCGUGGGUGGACUUGACCCCAUCCGUGCCGGAGCUAACGCGGGAAGUCGGCCGCCUGGGGAGUACGGCCGCAAGGCUAAAACUCAAAGGAAUUGACGGGGCCCGGCACAAGCGGCGGAGCGUGCGGUUUAAUUCGACGCAACGCGCAAAACCUUACCAGGGCUUGACAUGCCCCUCGCACACCCCGGAAACCGGGGGAGGCCUUCGAGGGUGGGGCGACAGGUGCUGCAUGGCUGUCGU
rnacentral:rRNA from 1 species